AUUGAACGCUGGCGGCAUGCCUUACACAUGCAAGUCGAACGGUAACAGGUCUUCGGAUGCUGACGAGUGGCGAACGGGUGAGUAAUACAUCGGAACGUGCCCGAUCGUGGGGGAUAACGAGGCGAAAGCUUUGCUAAUACCGCAUACGAUCUACGGAUGAAAGCGGGGGAUCUUCGGACCUCGCGCGGACGGAGCGGCCGAUGGCAGAUUAGGUAGUUGGUGGGAUAAAAGCUUACCAAGCCGACGAUCUGUAGCUGGUCUGAGAGGAUGAUCAGCCACACUGGGACUGAGACACGGCCCAGACUCCUACGGGAGGCAGCAGUGGGGAAUUUUGGACAAUGGGCGAAAGCUUGAUCCAGCCAUGCCGCGUGCAGGAUGAAGGCCUUCGGGUUGUAAACUGCUUUUGUACGGAACGAAAAGCCUCUUUCUAAUAAAGAGGGGUCAUGACGGUACCGUAAGAAUAAGCACCGGCUAACUACGUG
rnacentral:rRNA from 1 species